GCCUUGUUGGCUAAGUGGUAUAGCGUCUCACUAGUAUUACUCUGGUGUCAUGAGAAGAUCGGCGGUUCGAUUCCGCCACGAGGCA